rnacentral:rRNA from 1 species
AUUAACAUAAAGAGUCGAACCUGCCCAAUGAUAUUUUUAAAUGGCCGCGGUACUCUGACCGUGCAAAGGUAGCAUAAUCAUUUGCCUUAUAAUUGAAGGCUAGUAUGAACGGUUUGACAAGAGUAGCACUGUCUCUACUAAAUUUUAUAGAAUUUGGUUUUUAGGUGAAGAAACCUAAAUAAAAUUGAAAGACAAGAAGACCCUAUCGAGCUUUAAAAAAUUUUUCUUAAAGAUUUUAGUUGGGGCGACUAAGGAACAAUAAAAGCUUCUUUUUUUAUAUAUAAACUUAUAUGUUUUGAUCCAAAAAAAUGAUUAAUAGAAUUAGUUACCGUAGGGAUAACAGCAUAAUCUUUUUUGAGAGUUCUUAUCGAAAAAAAGGUUUGUGACCUCGAUGUUGGACUAGGAUAUCCUAAAGGUGUAGAAGCCUUUAAAGGUUGGUCUGUUCGACCAUUAACA